UGGGGAAUUUUCCGCAAUGGGCGCAAGCCUGACGGAGCAAUACCGCGUGAGGGAGGAAGGCUUUUGGGUUGUAAACCUCUUUUCUCAAGGAAGAAGCACUGACGGUACUUGAGGAAUCAGCAUCGGCUAACUCCGUGCCAGCAGCCGCGGUAAUACGGAGGAUGCAAGCGUUAUCCGGAAUUAUUGGGCGUAAAGCGUCCGCAGGCGGCUUGUCAAGUCUGCUGUUAAAUGUCGGGGCUCAACUCCGAUUCGGCAGUGGAAACUGACAGGCUAGAGUACGGUAGGGGUAGAGGGAAUUCCCAGUGUAGCGGUGAAAUGCGUAGAUAUUGGGAAGAACACCAGUGGCGAAGGCGCUCUACUGGGCCGUAACUGACGCUGAGGGACGAAAGCUAGGGGAGCGAAAGGGAUUAGAUACCCGGGUAGUCC
rnacentral:rRNA from 1 species